GUCAGUGUCGUCUAGUGGUUAGAACGCGAGCUUCACACGCUCGAGAUCGAGGGUUCGAUUCCCUCCUCUGAUA
rnacentral:tRNA from 1 species